rnacentral:lncRNA from 1 species
UCCAUAUCGAUAUCCGUAUAGUAGAAAGAGGCCAAAGAAAACCCUCAGCAAAUUCAAUGGCGACUACUGCAUUUCUUCAUCCUGCUGCGAGUUGCAGCGUUGUUUCUUCAUCUUGUCAUCUUAAAAGGAAGGAAGCCAUUUGCCGUAAUCUGCCUCUCAUUCGUUUGCUAUCGAUCUUUCAAAGCUCCGACAUCUUGAAAUCGAUCCUCCUUCAGCAUUACCUUUGACGCAUCUCCGACCAACCUGUACUAUGCUCCCAAUAAAUAGACCCCUGUAGAACUUCGAAACCUUAAUCUUUUUCUUGAACACCCAACACCAAACGUUACCAUCACUUUGUCAACAUGCAUUAACUGACGCAGACCAUAAAAUUGAAGUAAUGAAAGUUAAGUAUACCUUUGUAAGGCUUCAAAUACUUUUAGUUUUACUAAUCCCUAAACCCUUUUAAUUUUACUUUGCUCUCUGACUUCGGUGGUAGCUGCAGAGCUUAAGGAAGAUGAGGUGGCUUUGGUGAAGGUGGAUGCCACUGAGGAGUUGGAUUUCGCUCAGAAGUUUGAUGUUCUGGGUUUUCGAUACUGUACUUCUAUGUUGAUGGGGUGCAUAAACCCUACCCUGGUAAAUGAACCAGUUAAGUUUUCAUGUUUAUACAGGAUGAAUCUCAUGUAUUUACGGUUUCAUACGUGAAGAUGAAUGAAUUAAUAUGGUUUUAUUGCGUGGAUAUUUUGAUUUGGAUUAUGUGCAUUUAGGGAUAGAACUAGAGUAAGAAUUUAGGGUGGACGAAAUGUUAGAACAAUGUCAAUCCUAAUACGAAAUACUAGAUUACCCCUUCUCAGGUAGUAACUUUUUGAUCUUAAUCUUAUUUGUUUAGUUUCUGCAUCUAACAGUCCUAUAGAAGACUAAUACUUUUUAAAGUAGAAUGAAUUAUUUAAAUUGUAUUCAUUUUAUGAGUUCAUAUGUUGUUAGAACUGGAUGUUACAUUAUACUAAAUUGCUCGUCUUGAUGAUUUAUGUUGUAGAGAUGCUAUAAUUAAUUGGUUGAACAAAAAGACAAUCCCCGCUCUGUAUGGUAUCACAACGAACGCAACUUGGCUGUAGAAGGAAAAAUAGUAUUGGGUUAUUUAGAGAGCUUGGUGGUAUGACUUCUAUUGUUGUUCAAAUUGUUGUCGUACUUUAGAGGGUGUAUUUACUACUCAUUUGCCCAAAAUAUUAGAUGAACUGGCAUAUGCUUCAAAGCUGGAAGAUGAUGUUAGCUUCUACCAAAUGAUGAGUCCUGAUGUAGCAAAACUCUUCCAUAAUGAUCCCAAAGACAAACGUCUAGCUUUGUUCAUUAUUAACAAGGUCCUUAUUCAUUUUGGUAGUCAAAAUUUCCUUAACAUCACUUUUAA